rnacentral:rRNA from 1 species
GACGAACGCUGGCGGCAUGCCUAAUACAUGCAAGUCGAGCGAACAGAUGAAGUGCUUGCACUUCUGACGUUAGCGGCGAACGGGUGAGUAACACGUAAGGAAUCUACCUAUAAGCGGGGGAUAACAUUCGGAAACGGGUGCUAAUACCGCAUAAUAUCCUCUUCCGCAUGGAAGAAGAUUGAAAGACGGCUCUGCUGUCACUUAUAGAUGACCUUGCGGUGCAUUAGUUAGUUGGUGGGGUAACGGCCUACCAAGACGAUGAUGCAUAGCCGACCUGAGAGGGUGAUCGGCCACAUUGGGGCUGAGACACGGCCCAAACUCCUACGGGAGGCAGCAGUAGGGAAUCUUCCGCAAUGGGCGAAAGCCUGACGGAGCAAUGCCGCGUGAGUGAAGAAGGCCUUCGGGUCGUAAAACUCUGUUAUAAGAGAAGAACAAAUUGUAGAGUAACUGCUACAGUCUUGACGGUAUCUUAUCAGAAAGCCACGGCUAACUACGUGCCAGCCGCCGCGGUAA